rnacentral:rRNA from 1 species
AGCGAACGCUGGCGGCAGGCCUAACACAUGCACGUCGAACGAAGUCUUCGGACUUAGUGGCGGACGGGUGAGUAACACGUGGGAACGUGCCUUUAGGUUCGGAAUAACUCAGGGAAACUUGUGCUAAUACCGAAUGUGCCCUUCGGGGGAAAGAUUUAUCGCCUUUAGAGCGGCCCGCGUCCGAUUAGCUAGUUGGGGGGGUAAUGGCCCACCAAGGCUACGAUCAGUAGCUGGUCUGAGAGGAUGACCAGCCACAUUGGGACUGAGACACGGCCCAAACUCCUACGGGAGGCAGCAGUGGGGAAUCUUGCGCAAUGGGCGAAAGCCUGACGCAGCCAUGCCGCGUGGAUGAUGAAGGUCUUAGGAUUGUAAAAUCCUUUCACCGGUGAAGAUGAUGACUGUAGCCGGAGAAGAAGCCCCGGCUAACUUCGUGCCAGCCGCCGCGGUAACAC